CCUACGGGAGGCAGCAGUGGGGAAUUUUGGACAAUGGGGGCAACCCUGAUCCAGCAAUGCCGCGUGUGUGAAGAAGGCCUUCGGGUUGUAAAGCACUUUUGUCCGGAAAGAAAUGGCGCUGGUUAAUACCCGGCGUUGAUGACGGUACCGGAAGAAUAAGCACCGGCUAACUACGUGCCAGCAGCCGCGGUAAUACGUGGGGUGCGAGCGUUAAUCGGAAUUACUGGGCGUAAAGCGUGCGCAGGCGGUUUGGUAAGACAGGCGUGAAAUCCCCGAGCUCAACUUGGGAAUGGCGCUUGUGACUGCCAGGCUAGAGUAUGUCAGAGGGGGGUAGAAUUCCACGUGUAGCAGUGAAAUGCGUAGAGAUGUGGAGGAAUACCGAUGGCGAAGGCAGCCCCCUGGGACGUCACUGACGCUCAUGCACGAAAGCGUGGGGAGCAAACAGGAUUAGAUACCCUGGUAGUCCACGCCCUAAACGAUGUACAACUAGUUGUUGGGUAUUCUAUUCUUCUAGUAACGUAGACUACGCGUGUAGUAGACCGCCGUGGGAGGUACGGUCGCGAGAAGUAAACUAACAAUAGAAGUUAGACGGCGUGAGACGUAGCCGAACGGACGACCGACGAGGGAGGAGG
rnacentral:rRNA from 1 species